AGUACUGGAUACCAGAAGGUCUACUACCCUAACUUGUGUCAAGUCACUGCCAACGAUACCGUCUCUCCACAGACACAGGCAAACAAGUUGAUAUCGACUCUGUUUGCUCAGGCCAAUGUACGCAUGACUGUGGUGGGUCAUAACUAUGGCAACGACUGGUGCUGUCCCGUCCUAGGCUCAGAUCACAUGAUCUGCUACGCCAGACACACUGGCUAUGGGGGCUAUGGAACGUGGAUGAGGGGAUCACGUGUGUUGGUACUCACGGAGCAGGGACAGUACAGCACUUACGUCAGGAUGGAAGAUGGCAGGGUCAUCUGAUCCAUAAUUAUGGACUAAUACAUGACUGUUAGUAUUUAUAGCUACACUGAUCAAUUCUCUGGAUGAAGUUCAUAAUUUGCA